CUGAUUUAUGGUUAUAACAAAAGGAAUAUGAACAUGCAAAAAGACGUGGAGCAAAAAUUUAUGCAGAGAUUCGUGGAUAUGGGAUGUCAGGUGAUGCACAUCAUAUUACUCAACCUCCUGAAGAUGGAAAGGGAGCUGUUUUGGCCAUGUCACGUGCGUUAAGACAAUCUGGUCUGUGUCCAAACCAAGUUGAUUAUAUAAACGCACAUGCAACAUCAACCCCAAU